AUGGGGGGACCAUCCUCCAAGGCUAAAUACUCCUGACUGACCGAUAGUGAACCAGUACCGUGAGGGAAAGGCGAAAAGAACCCCGGCGAGGGGAGUGAAAAAGAACCUGAAACCGUGUACGUACAAGCAGUGGGAGCCUCUUAAUGGGGUGACUGCGUACCUUUUGUAUAAUGGGUCAGCGACUUAUAUUCUGUAGCAAGGUUAACCGAAUAGGGGAGCCGAAGGGAAACCGAGUCUUAACUGGGCGUUAAGUUGCAGGGUAUAGACCCGAAACCCGGUGAUCUAGCCAUGGGCAGGUUGAAGGUUGGGUAACACUAACUGGAGGACCGAACCGACUAAUGUUGAAAAAUUAGCGGAUGACUUGUGGCUGGGGGUGAAAGGCCAAUCAAACCGGGAGAUAGCUGGUUCUCCCCGAAAGCUAUUUAGGUAGCGCCUCGUGAAUUCAUCUCCGGGGGUAGAGCACUGUUUCGGCAAGGGGGUCAUCCCGACUUACCAACCCGAUGCAAACUGCGAAUACCGGAGAAUGUUAUCACGGGAGACACACGGCGGGUGCUAACGUCCGUCGUGAAGAGGGAAACAACCCAGACCGCCAGCUAAGGUCCCAAAGUCAUGGUUAAGUGGGAAACGAUGUGGGAAGGCCCAGACAGCCAGGAUGUUGGCUUAGAAGCAGCCAUCAUUUAAAGAAAGCGUAAUAGCUCACUGGUCGAGUCGGCCUGCGCGGAAGAUGUAACGGGGCUAAACCAUGCACCGAAGCUGCGGCAGCGACACUAUGUGUUGUUGGGUAGGGGAGCGUUCUGUAAGCCUGUGAAGGUGUACUGUGAGGUAUGCUGGAGGUAUCAGAAGUGCGAAUGCUGACAUAAGUAACGAUAAAGCGGGUGAAAAGCCCGCUCGCCGGAAGACCAAGGGUUCCUGUCCAACGUUAAUCGGGGCAGGGUGAGUCGACCCCUAAGGCGAGGCCGAAAGGCGUAGUCGAUGGGAAACAGGUUAAUAUUCCUGUACUUGGUGUUACUGCGAAGGGGGGACGGAGAAGGCUAUGUUGGCCGGGCGACGGUUGUCCCGGUUUAAGCGUGUAGGCUGGUUUUCCAGGCAAAUCCGGAAAAUCAAGGCUGAGGCGUGAUGACGAGGCACUACGGUGCUGAAGCGACAAAUGCCCUGCUUCCAGGAAAAGCCUCUAAGCAUCAGGUAACAUCAAAUCGUACCCCAAACCGACACAGGUGGUCAGGUAGAGAAUACCAAGGCGCUUGAGAGAACUCGGGUGAAGGAACUAGGCAAAAUGGUGCCGUAACUUCGGGAGAAGGCACGCUGAUAUGUAGGUGAAGCGACUUGCUCGUGGAGCUGAAAUCAGUCGAAGAUACCAGCUGGCUGCAACUGUUUAUUAAAAACACAGCACUGUGCAAACACGAAAGUGGACGUAUACGGUGUGACGCCUGCCCGGUGCCGGAAGGUUAAUUGAUGGGGUUAGCGGUAACGCGAAGCUCUUGAUCGAAGCCCCGGUAAACGGCGGCCGUAACUAUAACGGUCCUAAGGUAGCGAAAUUCCUUGUCGGGUAAGUUCCGACCUGCACGAAUGGCGUAAUGAUGGCCAGGCUGUCUCCACCCGAGACUCAGUGAAAUUGAACUCGCUGUGAAGAUGCAGUGUACCCGCGGCAAGACGGAAAGACCCCGUGAACCUUUACUAUAGCUUGACACUGAACAUUGAGCCUUGAUGUGUAGGAUAGGUGGGAGGCUUUGAAGUGUGGACGCCAGUCUGCAUGGAGCCGACCUUGAAAUACCACCCUUUAAUGUUUGAUGUUCUAACGUGGGCCCCUUACCGGGGUUGCGGACAGUGUCUGGUGGGUAGUUUGACUGGGGCGGUCUCCUCCUAAAGAGUAACGGAGGAGCACGAAGGUUGGCUAAUCCUGGUCGGACAUCAGGAGGUUAGUGCAAUGGCAUAAGCCAGCUUGACUGCGAGCGUGACGGCGCGAGCAGGUGCGAAAGCAGGUCAUAGUGAUCCGGUGGUUCUGAAUGGAAGGGCCAUCGCUCAACGGAUAAAAGGUACUCCGGGGAUAACAGGCUGAUACCGCCCAAGAGUUCAUAUCGACGGCGGUGUUUGGCACCUCGAUGUCGGCUCAUCACAUCCUGGGGCUGAAGUAGGUCCCAAGGGUAUGGCUGUUCGCCAUUUAAAGUGGUACGCGAGCUGGGUUUAGAACGUCGUGAGACAGUUCGGUCCCUAUCUGCCGUGGGCGCUGGAGAACUGAGGGGGGCUGCUCCUAGUACGAGAGGACCGGAGUGGACGCAUCACUGGUGUUCGGGUUGUCAUGCCAAUGGCACUGCCCGGUAGCUAAAUGCGGAAGAGAUAAGUGCUGAAAGCAUCUAAGCACGAAACUUGCCCCGAGAUGAGUUCUCCCUGACUCCUUGAGAGUCCUGAAGGAACGUUGAAGACGACGACGUUGAUAGGCCGGGUGUGUAAGCGCAGCGAUGCGUUGAGCUAACCGGUACUAAUGAACCGUGAGGCUUAACCUU
rnacentral:rRNA from 1 species